UACGGAGGGUGCAAGCGUUGUCCGGAUUUAUUGGGUUUAAAGGGUGCGUAGGCGGCUUGUUAAGUCAGGGGUGAAAGACUGCAGCUCAACUGUAGCAGUGCCUUUGAUACUGAUGAGCUUGAGUAUAGAUGAGGCCGGCGGAAUUUAUGGUGUAGCGGUGAAAUGCAUAGAUACCAUAAAGAACACCGAUUGCGAAGGCAGCCGGCUAAACUACAACUGACGCUGAGGCACGAAAGCGUGGGGAUCGAACAGGAUUAGAAACCCCAGUAGUCC
rnacentral:rRNA from 1 species